ACUGAUCCCAGAACAGAGGGGUGAUGUGUGAUUGUGGGUGCAGUGGAAAAUCCAAAGGUCCGUCGGAUGGGUCCAGAGGACCCUGUCGCCCAGCAGAGGACCUCAACUUCCAUGGCUGGACUUUUCUCCCCCAUCAUGUAUUUCUCCUCCCUGCCCCCCUAGGAUUUUUUCCCAGAUUCCUGCCCUAGUCAGAGCUGCCUCCUGUUGACCAAGAUCCAAGAGGUGAAUCUUGGGUUAAGAAACCUACUGGCCAGCCCCGGAAAGGCAGACCCUCCCCACUGCUUCCCCUCGGGUAGGUGCGGGGCGCCUCUCUUCCCCACGGGGAAGAAGCAGGAAUUUCAGCAGCAAGCCGUGCACGUGCUGAAGGAGCAGAACCACCUCCUCAUCAAGGAGGUGUCGGAGAAGAGCGACCGCAUCGCCCAGCUGGAGCAGGAGAAGGCUGCCGUGUGCAAGCAGCUCCCGGAG